UGGUGCUAUGGUCUAGGCACUUCUUGGACAGCAUGUCUCACUUGCUGAUGAAACUCCUGUGCAAGAAGAUUGAGAAGUGGAACCUCAAAUUGCAGCAGUGGAACCUGAAGUUGCAGGGGGCCUCAAAUCUGACCCUAUCAGAAAUUCAAAAUGGAGAUGUGUCUGAAGAAACACUGGGAGCUGGAAAGGUUAAAAAAUCAAAACAUUCUAUGAAUGUGGGCUUCUCAGAAGCUCAAAAUGGAGACCUAUCUCAUGAAGCAGGGGAAAAUAUAAAAGUUAAAAAUAUCCCCAGAAAUCUAUUGCAUUAACCAAUGGAGAAGGAGCAAUGCAGUCUCCAGAUUCAGAAUCAAAAGAGAAAUAUGCCGAAUGAUGCUGGGCCUGAUACAAAAAAAGCAAAAACUGAAAACAAAGGGGAUUCUGAAUAAGAAAGUACCAAGACUCCUAAAGAAACAGAAAAUAAUGUGUAGAUGCCAGAUAAUGAGGGAGAUGACAGUGAGGUGCCCAGCCUGCCCCUGAAACUGACAGGAGCUUUUGAGGAUAAUUCAUUUGCUUCUCUAUGCCAUCUUGUCAGUGAAAACACUCUGAAGGCAAUAAAAUAAAUGGGUUUUACAAACAUUACUGAAAUUCAGCAUAAAACUAUCAGACCACUCUGGAAGGCAGGGAUCUUCCAGCAGCUGCAAAAACAGGCAGUGGUAAAACCCUGGCUUUUCUCACCCCUGCAGUUGAACACAUUGUUACAUUAAAGUUCAUGCCCAGGAACGGAAGGGGAGUCCUUAUUCUCUCACCUAGUAGAGAAUUAGCCACGCCCAGUUCACGAUUAUCUCCUUUUUCUCUGAAAAAGGAGCCAUUGUACAUUGCUGUUGAUGAUGAUAAAGCUAAUGCAACAGUGGAUGGUCUUGAGCAGGGACAUGUUGUUCGUCCCUCUGAAAAGAGAUUCCUUCUCUUCUUUACAUUCCUUGAGAAGAACUGAAAGAAGGUGCUCAUGGUCUUUUCAUCUUGUAUGUCCGUGAACUACCACUGUGAGUUGCUGAACUACAUUGAUUUGCCUGUCUUGGCCAGUCAUGAAAAGCAAAAGCAAAAUAAGCGUACAGCCACAUUCUUCCAGUUCUGCAACGCAGAUUCAGGAACACUAUUAUAUACAGAUGUGGCAGCAGGAGGACUGGACAUUCCUGAAGUUGACUGGAUUAUUCAGUAUGAUGACCCUAAGGAAUAUAGGCAUCUUGUGGGUAGAACAGCCAGAGGUCUAAAUGGGAGAGGGCACACCCUGCUCAUUUUGCACCCAAAAGAAUUAGAUUUUCUUCACUAUUUGAAACAAUCCAACGUUCCAUUAAGUGAAUUUGACUGUUUCUGGUCUAAAAUUUCUGACACUCAGCCUCAGCUUGAGAAAUUGAUUGAAAAAACUACUUUCUUAAUAAGUCAGCCCAGGAAGCGUUUAAGUCAUACAUACGAGCCUAUGAUUCCCAUUCUCUGAAACAGAUCUUUAAUGUCAGUAACUUAAAUUUGCCUCAAGUUAUUCUGUCAUUCAGUUUCAAGGUGGCUCCCUUUGUUGAUCUGAACAUCAACAGCAAUGAAAGCAAGAAGAAAAAGCGAGGAGGCAGUGGUAGAUUUGGCUACAAGAAAACCAAGAAAGUUGAGAAGUCCAAAAUCUUUAAACACUUUAGCAAGAAAUCAUCUGACAGCAGGCAGUUCUCCCACUGAAGACAUGCCUUUCUUUCAUCUUGAAUAACUUUGUCCUAAAAUGAAUUUUUUCCCCUUGAUUUAACAGAUUUUUUGUAGCUUUUAGAAUUUGGACUUAUCUAACAAGAAUUUAAAUUGACUUGGGUUGCAAGCACUGAGCACUGUUACUUCUAUCAAGUCUCUUUUUUAUUUUGGGGAUGUAAAACAGGCUUUAAUUUUCUUGGUUCCCCAAGGGCAGGGCAAGGAAUAUCUGGUCUUAUUGUGAUUAUAUUUUUUAAUUUUAAAUAUCCCUCCCUCAUACAUACAAAUAUAUGUUACUGUUUUAAUAUAAUUCUUUUUGUACAUUUAAAAA